CUAUGUAUGCCUGUUGGAUGAAAUACUCGGUUACGUUAGAGGCUCCAGCUGAAGGUCUCUUUGCAAGUGUUCAUUUCCAAGACCUUUGUCUGUUAUGCCUUACAUCAAAUUGUCACACAGUUACCUUACAAUUACCAUAUAAAUUUACAUUUCAGUGUUACAGUGCCUCCAACAUAAUGAUAGAUAUCUAGUAAUUGAUUAGGCAAAGUAAUAGUUGCAAUUUUUCCUUCACUAAAGCCCUCCAGCAUUUGCUUUUGGGUAUGUCUGCACUGUAACCUGAUGGUGUUAGGGCAGCUCACAGAUGAGUAUGAACCAACUGCCUGAAGCAUCAAGAGCAAUAAGAUUUAGAUGUCAGUACAGACAUGUAUUUUCCACCUUGCUUUUAUCUGUUGGACAAUAUUGCUGACCUUAAAGCCUCCUAAGAUAGCAAUAACAGUAUUAGCAAGCCCUCAAAGCUGCCAAAAAAUAACAUACCAUUCACUAUUAGUGACAAUCUGUUUCAGAUUUUCAGUUUAUGAGAACUUUCUUCAUGCUGUCAAUAAACUGCUAAUUGCAUGUUGGAUGUGGUGUGUGCUUAACAUACACAGCUUUUAUGUAUAUGUUGAUUACAAAGCUCCAAACUUCCAGUUAACCUUUUUUUCCCUCUAAGCAUGUCUUUUUUUUUUUUUUUUUUAAUUAGAAUGGUGGGAUAGAAAGAUCCUUAGAUAGGUGCAUAUAGAAACAUUUGUCAAAUCAAAUGAAUUCAGUCCAAAAGUUCAGUCUCUAAGGAGCUCAAAGUUUUUUGAAUGACUGAAAAAGUGUAUUUACAGUGGAAUUUAGGAAUUUGAUGUUAUAGUUACUUUAAAUUUUAAUACUUAUGUAAUAGGUGAGCUCCAACCAAGAGUUGUAGCUCUUUCUGUAAGAGUGGUAAGGGUAAUGAUGGCAUAAUCUGAGCAAAAUGAGAAUCAAUAAGGACUGGUAAACAGCAUGUGUCCACAUGUGUAGCACCUUGCUUCAUAUCUGUUGGGUGGAAAUGUUUAUGUGCAGUAAAACAGCUUUUUAACAAGAACCAGACUGAGUUUAUAGAUGUGACAUGUAAUUCGCUCUGCCUCCUCACUGUUAUGUCUUUUGAAAAGUACUAAUGGGAGGUUUACUUAACGUGUUUUACACAAAUUUGUUAAUUAAAAAAGCAAACCCCCAGCACUAGCACAGUUUUUUUUUUCAUGUAUUUACAAGCAGAAAUACAAAAGCACAAAUGAGAUACUUUUCCAAGAAGUUGUGAAAGAGCUUAACCAGUUUUUGUAAAAUAGCCUUCCCCUUGUCUUAUGCCUUGUAUAUUAAUUCCUGUUGAAACUUAAUCUGAACCUUUAAAAAAAAUGUUCAUACUCUUGGUCUUUUUUUAUAUGUUCUUGCCCUGGGGUCAGAUCUCUCUUAGUUAGAAGAUGGAUAUUUUCUGUCAUCUUUUUGCAUCUCUUGUUGUUAACCUUCUACAUAAUGAUGUCUGUGUAACAUUUUAUCCCAUUUUAAAUGAGCUGAGUCCCUGUGCCUUUCUGACAACGUAUGUGUUUGUCUUUUCUGGAGUGCGUUGAUAUGUCUAAUUUUGAAAACACAGGUCUGAAAAUGGCAGAAGUCUCAGCACCAGUGCCUGCUGCCUCUCCUCUCUACUUCAGUUUCCAUCAGACUGCCAAGUUAGUGGAUUUCCUUCUCUUUGAGUACCGCAUGGGCCUGUCAAUGAGUUUCUAAAAGAUCAUACAGAGCAUGCGGAUAAGCCUGACAUUUACAGAAAAUGUGUCUGAAGGACACUUCCAGGGGUUGCAUUUCCCUCGGAUGCUGAUGUCAGAUUGGAGCUAAACCCGCAUAGUUCUGUGGGAUGCAAGAAACUUGGGGCUUGCGUGUAGUGCUUGGUGUGGGCAGGCAGCUGGGGGCUCUGCUCAUUGCUUCUUGAAGGCAAGGUAUUCUGCUUUGGUCUUCCCAUUCUAAUACGUGUGAGAUGUUUAGUCUUGGACAUUAACUUUGUCCUCCCCUUUUCUUCCUGCCUUCUCUCUCCACCUUCUGAGCACUACGCCUCUUCUCGGGAUGAGAAAAAACAAAAACGAUGGGUACAAUUUGGGUAGGGUAUUCCAGUUCUGAAUAUACACACAUGAAAUAUCUGGAAGCCUGUUCUCAGAGAACAUGAGAUGCUGCAAGCAUGUGGAGGAAGCAUCACUUACUGCUGCUCUCAUGCUCUUCCCUAGGCAGCAGCUGCUGCAGCUGUCAGUGGGAGUGCUGCACUGGGUGGGCUGCAGUGCCCUGUGCCUGGCCAGGUGCAAGACGUGUUGCGAGGACAGACAGGAGGUAAAGGUUUGGCUCCAAGGGCAGCUAGCAGCAGUAAGUUUGGCUUUAUUUACAUUCUUUCUCCCAUGUCCCUUAAUUUUUAGUAUUUUUUUUCCCCUAGGAAAGCAACAAACUGAAACAUGAGUUCCUCUCAGUUGCUGUGAUUGAUUCCAAAAGCAACUGCGUUUGUUUCCUCUUUUGUUUCCCCCUUCGAUUUGCUUUAGCAUGUGGCUUACACAAACAUUGACUACUGCUGUGCAAUAUAAGCUUUGUUUCAUUGAAGUACUGUUUGCAUUUGGUCCUUACAUUUUAGAAUUACAACUUAAAUGGCUUUUCUAGAGAGGAUGAUGUUAAUGUGGAUAAAUUGGAUUUCAAAGACCAAACAUUUCCAUUUUUCUGUAGAAUCAGAAAAUACCAAUCCUUUUGUAGAAUGGUACUUUUAAAGAGUACAUUUGUAAAAACUAUUUUCCAACUAAUAUUCAGUGCCAAUGUUUAUACAGCUUACUCAAUCUUCUGCCACGUGACAGCUGCAUUCUACUGUCCUUCUCCCUUACAACUUCCAGUAAAGGCUGUGUAAAUCAUUUCUUGUUGCAUGUAAGCAAGCAAAGACAGUGGUAAACAGGAAGAGAUCCUUACUCACAAAUACAGUAUUCUCAUUAGUAAAUCAUUUAAUAUAUUUUCCACAUUGCAUAAAUUGAUCCAGAUUGCAAACUUGUAUGGGAGAAUCUCUAACACAUAAGAUUGUGUAGAGGAUGUGUUUUGCUUUCCGGAGUCAAAUAUAACCUUCAUGACCUAAUGCUUAUCAAAUGGUACUUUGCCUUUAACAAUACAGCAUUUUAUGCAACUUUUCCUUCAAAAUUUUGGGACCAUUUUACUUAGGAGCGAAAUUCCCAGCUAGCAGAGCUGAAUUAGCUAAAUCAUCAUUUCCCAGUUGCAACUGCAAAAUGAGUAUGGAAGAUCGGGGCUCUGAUAUCUACUCAUAAAGCAUAAAGAAUCGAGCGCUUCAUCCUUUUAACAGAAAAAAAAAAAAAAAAAAAAAAAAAAAAACCAGCAAAUCUGUGUCUGCUCUGCGCUCAGCCGGCGGGAGAUGGGUGCCGGAGAGGAGCCUGCUGUCCCCUGCCGGGCCAGAGGGUGGCAGUGGCCCUCCACGCACCCGGGCCAGCGCUGGAGGAGAGCGACCCAACUCUCGGGUACCUGCUGGUGUAGCUGGGAGUCAGCUUUUCCGUCAAAAUACUCGCACGGGGUCCUUCGAGUGGCUGGGCUUGGUGCAGGAGACACGGUGGAGGGCCGCUGGACGCAGCCCCUACACCCGGUGGGUGAUGGACGGGAGGGAGUCGUGCUGCUCGAGUGUGCGAGGGGGAUUUCGGAACUCUUCUGGUACAUACGUGCGUUAAAUGCCCGAUAACGCAUUCCCUGGAUGUCCGAAUGAGGCGUCUCAGUGCACGUCCCUGGCUAGGGCAGCCACAAGAGCUGGUCCCACUGUUGGGAAGGGACCAGGUCUGGAAGACUGGUGAGGGGAGAAUCACCCUCAGCCUUGCUAAAGCUUUUAUUUAUUUAUUUAUUUAUUUAUUUUUGCAUUUGCAACUUUCGUGCAUGACCUACUCGAUGUUUACAGCGUGUAAAAUGUGAUUGUUGCCAACGGUUGCCCACCAGCGCGUAGCUGGAUGUGGGUCUCCUGAUGUGUGUUUGGCUGAGAGUUAAUGGGGAUGUUGGCAACAACUGGCCUUCCGCUGGGGAGUAACGGGGCCAGAGAAAGCGGUGACAAGUUCACAGAGUUUCCUACUGUCUUCUGGGGGUACAUCGGCAAUGAUAGAGAACAAAGAAAGCCCAAAUCUGUAAGGAAACUUUGAAGCCUUAGAAUAAAUUCUCGUGCACUAAGCUUUGACCUUGCUGUUUAUUUUUGCACGACAAAGUCUUAAGAACAAACCCAGAGAGGGAAUCUCCUAAGUUAGAGCACGCAGGGUAAACUCCUAGUUCUGAGCAGAGGAAUGCGGUGUGGAGAUGAUGAAUUAGUUAAUUGUGAAAGAGGAAACAUUUUUUCUUUUCUUAAUUUACAGUUUUAAAAACAUGUUUGUGUUUUUUCUUUUUCUUCCCGUUCAUUUCCCCACACCUCAUAAAUUGUGAAUUUCUCUUUUGGCUACGCAUGACGAGGAAAUUUGUUUCAUUCUACAAGUGUAUUAAUCAUCCCCUAGCUUAAAAAUAUUGAAGUUGCAACGCCUCAGUUUCUGAAGGGGUUGAUCUGCCUGUUGCAGCUCUUUAAUUUCAUAAACUAAACCAUGGGUUUAAUGUGACAUUCAGUGUGGUCUCACCCUAAAACGAACAACAGGGUGAAAAAUUAGCUUUGAGGGAGAAAUGGGGUGGUGAUUAUGUUAAGAUUGUUACUGUUUUGAAAAGACUAAGCCCUCAGCCCUGACCGACCCCCCGAAUCUGCUACUGUUCACGUCGGUAAAACACCCACAGAAAGGAGUAUUUCAGGAACUGCGACGUGCAGAGCUGCAGUGAUGAAAUCUGUUACUACCGGGCUGCCAGGGUUAAACGUUCAUCGCUCCAAGUUGGGACAAACCGAGCGCUGAGACAGUAGCAGGGCUCGGCCACAGGAGGCACAGCGAGUGUUUGCGAUGGGGAGAGAUUUCCUUAAUCGCUGCUGGAUGCGUUGUGAGAAGAUCAUCCCUGGCCUUCCCCCCUCCCGGCUGAACCCUUCUGUCUUCUGAUUGCAUUGAUCCUGGGAGAAGGUGCGCUGCUGUGGCUGUAUUAAGAGAUCAGCGCUGGCUUUCUCCCAGCCUGCGCGGAUGGUUUUGGUGUCAAGGGCAAGGAAAGGCAGCUGCUGCCCCCACGCACCAUCCGCCCACCUGCCCGCUGGUGAAAGUGCUGCUGGCCCCAGGUGAGGCUCCUGCCAGAUUCCCCAAAUCCUAAACACGCCCAAAGUGUGGGGCCUGCCAGGGAGCGCUACUUACCCAAAACAUCGGUGAAGUUUCCCUCGUUUGUGAUCCUCUUUUAAUUCAUUUGUAGGACUCAAAAUCUAGUUCCUGUGUGAGGUGGGUUUCUAACUGAGCUUAAAUUAGAACAUCAUCUGAUAAGGCACAGUUCCCACAUCCCGUCUUAUGACAACUAAAGAGAUGUAAUGAACAAUGCUCGUUAGAGUGGGCUCGGAGGGUACGUUAAUGCCCUUCAAUAAGUAGGGCGGAUUGCACAGUUUCUGAAGGCAAAAGAGAAAAAAGCUGUUACUGGCUUUCAAGAAUUUCGAGUCCUAUUUCAAACUUAAUUUAAUUCUUAUGGAGAAAGAGUUCCUUUAGGAGCAGCCAAAGUUUAAUCAGUAACACAACAGUGAUUUAAGCUUAAUUCUCAGUAUCUUAGUCAUACAGAGCUGCUGCUGCAACUGAUUAGAAACCCCAUUUCAUUGAAAUACUGCAUGGAAGCAUGAAAAUUCCAGUGUGGAAAGGCAACAGUCACUUCAUCAUUUUAGAUCCCAUGUUAACGCAUCACCAGCUCGCACAUUCAAAGCCUUUUUAGAGAAAUUUAAUAGUUGGGGGACUAAUAACCACCCACAACCCCUAAUUCCGAGCGAUUAUUCUGAACACAAAUUAACAGAUCCAGGGCAUCACUACUGAGCACUAAAUCAUCUGUAGGGGUGGGAAAAAAAGAAGUUACAUUCCAUGGGAAUGUCUCAGGAUUAACCGCUUUUGUGUAUGUUUCCAAACACUUUGUCAAUAGCAUCCCCUCCGUAAUAAAUUACUUUACUAGCUCCUUUCACUCUGUUUACAGACAGAUCCUUUAGGAGUUUGUCAUAUACAUUCAAAUAAGACUUUCCAGGUUACAAGAAUUAUUAUUCACUUCAGGUAAUUUUAUUCUUUGUAUUCUCUACAUAUUUGAACUUUUACUCAGUAAAACUGUAACAGAAUGUUUAAGUAUUUUUAAAAAAACAAACACCACAAAUCAUAGCCAGCCAACAGUUGGUCCCCAAAGAAUAGCCAGCAAUCAGUUCAAUAAACACACUUGAUUUAUUUUGUAUAAAAAGGGGUUAAGUUUACAACUAAACUUUUAUAAAAAGUUUAGCAUGAUUAAGUACAUCAUUACACUUUUUGCAGAAAUUUACAUUUCUGCCACUAUACAAGAAAACUCUAAUUAAAGAG